ACGGCAGCCCCUCCUCCUUCCGGGUCUGUUCUGCUCACACCCCUGAGCUCUGGGAGGCCCCAGGCAGAGAAGGGGUGGGGGGAUGGGGGGGUGGUCUUGCUCGAGGUCACGUCUGCCUUCCAGAGCAGCCAGGUCAGGACGGAAGGGUUUCUACCCCUCAGUUCCCGUACUACGAGAUGAUGGGGUGAGGCCAUCGGCUGUGUGCAUAUUACACAAGCAAUCUGGGUUCCUCCUCAUAAACCAGACGUGGGGCAGAGGUUCCCAGGCUCGGGGGUGCAAGGCCUCCCUAGUCUUUCCAGGCUCGGAGCCUCUGUGCCACACCUGCCCUCAAUGCACCCACACCCAAGACCAUGAAGGUCACCGGCCCCUGCUGCUGCUGGCGCAGCUGUGGGUGAAGCCCUGCUCAAAGCUGCCCCUCCUCUGUGGUCACUGGCACUACCAAUGUUCAGCUACGCUAGCAAGAGCUGUGCCCCCACCCCGUGCCCAGAUUAUGAACCUCACCCAUCCUGUGGUCCAUGGAGGGUCUUACCCCAUAGAAACUGAGGAUGGACUGAUUGACUUGAAGACUGAGAAGCUGGACAUGACCUGCUGUGAAAAGAGCUUCUGUAACAAGGCAGCCACAGCGCGGCGCGGCCUUUGGGGCCUGGCUGUCAGGGAGCUCCUGCUCAGCCUGGGCCUCUUCUUUGGGCCCUGCUGUGAGCCCAGCCCACCCUGGCACUGCCCCUGGUGGGUAAAUAGGAGCGCAGGGCGGUUGCCCUGUGCAGCCCUCAGCUCCUGCCCUGAUGCCCUCGCCUAGCCGCCCAGCAGCCCAGAGACCCCCCUCACCCAGCAGCCUAGAUGCCCACUGGCCCAGAUAGUAAAUGCACGUGUUCAACCCAAGGACUUUGUUCCCUUAUUAACCCUUGGGGUCUGUCUGUGGCCUUCAAGGGGGUCCCAGCAAAUUCCCCAAGUGGGGUUCAGAGACUGGAGGGCCUUCCCCAGGUGGCCCAGCCCUGUGCUCAUUUCCAGCCAGGAUCAGGCUCAGCCCCAGCCCGAGGUCCAGAAGCAGCCCGGAGGGUCUUGCACUCAGGGCUGGGGCCACCCAGGAAGACUUGUUGGGGGCUGACAGAGGGGGCGGAGGGGUGGAGGCACUAAGGGCCCAGGCCAGCUGUGGCUGCCGGAUGUGUGAAACGGUCCCGGGCCCACAGGCUGGUGACUCCUGCAAGGCACCGCAGAGGGCGGGGGUGUCAAGGGGGCAGAGGCUGUUGAUGGGGGAGGCAGCGCAGGGUUCUGCCUGGGCCUCACUGCAGGAAGUCCCCACAGGGGCUGAGCGGUGCGGGGUGGGUGAGGCGCAGCGCUGGGGCGGGCUCCCCAUCCUCCAGAGGCUCAUCCAUGGGCAGAUGCCGGGAAGCGGGAAAGUGGGGCUGGAUGGGCUGUGGAGAGGAGGGGGCCCAGUUCGGGUCGACGUGGAGACUGGGAAAUCCCAGCUCCUAGCAGGGUGUGGUGGGCCCUGGGCGGGAGGCUCCGGUCCAGAGCCCUGAGGUGAGGUUCCCUUCCUCUCCCUCCCUCAGGCUUCAGGAAAUUGAAACUCAGCGCGCUGGGCUCCUCCCUUCUCUGCUCCAGCCCCAGGACACAACCCGGGCUCCCUCCCUCUGCUCCCGGACUCCACUCCCUCCCUCGGCUCCUGGAAACCACCUGUCCUUGGGGGGCCUCCCGCCUCCGGAGGGCGGGGCGGCAGGAACCCGGCGGAACCACUCUCUCUGCUACCCGCAGGAGGUCAGGGCUGCCUCUGACCCCAGCCCUAAACCCAGAGCAGAGGGAGAGCUGGGCCCCGAGUUCCAGAUCCCAGGAGGACAAGCAGCUUCCACUCUGAGACUGUCUCCCCUGGGGAAACGAGGGGAUGACUGCGCCCUCGUCUCAGUGUGGUUGCGGGACUUAGAAACCAGUGAGCUCACCUGGGAAGUGGAGGAGAUGCCAGAGAUGGAAGUGAAAAUUAGCUUUAGCAGAAACCAAGCAUUUGUUAGAAAUUCUAUCAUCGCCCAGCGCCCACCAUGUUCCUGUGUCCCUGGAGUCAGAUCCAGCUUCCUCUCACUAGCUCCACUAUGAUCAACUGGUCUGUCCCUCCAGCAAAGCCACCUGUGAUUCCGAGUGAACAAUGCAGUGAAUGCACUGCACACUGGGACCCGAAUGCCGGGAUCUCUGUCCUGGCUACCGUGCCCAGGCUUCUGGACCAUCUGGUUUCCACCCUCUGUUCUCUGCUUGCAUUUCUCAAUGCUAGAGGCAACCCACUCAGCAAAUCCAAACUCCCCACAGAAUCUCAAGCUCAGUCUCUGCAGGGUCCGUCCACAGGGAGUGGUGAUUGGCGGCAGGACCCUCCUCCCGGUGACCCCUUCCAGGUCCUCUUGCUCAGUUACAACGGGCCCUUCUUGGGUGGCAGUAAUGAUUCGUGUGUUUCAGACAGGAAUCACUACCUCAGGGACACAGGAGGAGGACACAGGUCGUUGACCUGCCUUGACCUCAGGGACCUGGGAGGACCCGGCUAUUCAUAUCAGCUGCCAGGGGUGGGAAUCUUGGGGCUUCCAUGGUGACCACCGGCCCCUCCUGCUGGACGGUGCCCCUGGAAUCUUGACACACACAGCACAGUUUCUGGGCAGCCAGGGAAAUCCAGGGUGGGCGCCGAGUGGCCGAGACCCUGGUCCGUUUCCUCCCGUUGUUCCAGAUAAACAAACACACACACCUCCAUUGCGUGUCUGCUUGUUUUUCUCUCUCCAGCCCAAAGAGCCCUCUGGGCUGUGCACAGCACCUGCCUGCAGAUGGUGGCCUGGGCCGGGUUCCUCUGUCAGGAGGCCGCCACCUGCUUGCCAG
rnacentral:lncRNA from 1 species